UUGAAAGGGAAACGAUUGAAGUCAGUCGUACCAGCGGGAAAUCAACCUUUCGAGUGGGGGUUUUGGAGUUUUUUGAAGAGUGUCAAAACCUUUGAGAUUUCAAAAUAUUCGCUCUUUUGGUGUACUUUCUCGUGGGUAGGUUAACAUCGAUUUUGAUCAUCAUAAAAGGAUUGGAGGAAUGUAGCUUCGAUCUUGUAUUGAAGUGUUAUAGCCUUUGGUAAAUGUGAUGAUUGGGAUCGAGGAUUGCAACGAAUACCCUUUUGGGCUAUCCGCCUGAUCUCUGAUACGUGGCCUUGGCAUCGAAAGCUUGCUUAUGGUAUCAAGGUAUUACGGUCAAAAGGUUAGAACGGAUUACAUUCGUUAAGGAUGUUGACGUA
rnacentral:rRNA from 1 species